UACGAAGGGGGCUAGCGUUGCUCGGAAUUACUGGGCGUAAAGCGUGCGCAGGCGGUUUUGUAAGUCUGUCGUGAAAUUCCCGGGCUCAACCUGGGAAUUGACGAUGGAGACUGCAAGGCUAGAAUCUGGCAGAGGGGGGUAGAAUUCCACGUGUAGCAGUGAAAUGCGUAGAGAUGUGGAGGAACACCGAUGGCGAAGGCAGCCCCCUGGGUCAAGAUUGACGCUACAUGCACGAAAGCGUGGG
rnacentral:rRNA from 1 species